UCACGAAGUGGUGAUGACGCAGCAGAAAAACCCACUUCAACAUGGUAUGUGACGUCACAGAGGAUCAAGCGGACUAUAGCGUAAAGCAAGAAUGAAGAAAAGUCAGCAAAAAAGCUGCCGAAGAAAAGCGCAAGUCGAAGAACAGAGACGAAGACGCCGAUUAAGGAUACAUGGUUUGAGGCUUGAGUAUUAUAUAAGUAUAGGAGUUGUGUGUUGUAUAUGUAUGUAUGUGUUUGUCUGUCUGUGCUACCGUCCUUUAUUCUGCUGGGUCUACUAUGGCCAGCUGUUUUUAGUCAGUCACUACUAUAGUGCAUUUUGCAUGUCUAUGA